UACAGAGGGGGCAAGCGUUGUUCGGAAUUACUGGGCGUAAAGGGCGCGUAGGCGGCCCGCUAAGUCGAACGUGAAAUCCCCGAGCUCAACUCGGGAACUGCGUCCGAUACUGGCGGGCUUGAAUCCGGGAGAGGGAUGCGGAAUUCCAGGUGUAGCGGUGAAAUGCGUAGAUAUCGUAAGGAAGACCAGUGGCGAAGGCGGGUCUCUGGACAGUUCCUGACGCUGAGGCACGAAGGCCAGGGGAGCAAACGGG
rnacentral:rRNA from 1 species